rnacentral:lncRNA from 1 species
AAAAACUAACCCCAUUGAUGAUGCGAGAUCCUUCCGCAAUGACUCUCGGCCUCGCCGAUUCUUUUGUAGGAGGAGGAGCAUCGAAACCCGAUGGCAGCCCAGCAAAGAAAUCAUCGAAAUCCGGAAUAGGGGCCUCGCUCGAACCGCUCCCGUCGCCGUAAGCAAGGUUCGGAUCCCAUCCUGGAAGCAUAGAGCCAUCCAUCGAAAACUCUAUGUCGCCAAGAUCGAC